AUAUUUGCGCUCCUCCGCCCGUCCUCAUCACCCCUUCUUCGAAUCUCUCUCUCUCUCUCUCUCUCCAGAAGGCCUCCUUUUUCGAACCCUAGUUCUCUCCUGCUACGCCUGUGAUCCGAGUGGAAAAGUCUGAUCAAGAUUUCUGGAGCGCCGAGGAAUCCGUGCCGGGGCUCUCGGAUCUGGCAAUGGAGGCCCAACGAGGCCGGAUCUGAUACCGAUGAUCUCGGGGUCAGUGCAAUGCGGUGCUUCAGGUUGGAUCUUUGGGGAGUCUCGAGACGAUAGGGAUCGAAUCCGAUGAAUCUUUUUGAAAAUUUAACGAUCUUUCGAAUCCUUGGAGGUAGGUGAUUUCGGCUCUGCGUUUCCGUUUCUUUUGUCUAUCGUUGGCUGGAUGUUGGUUUCUGCAAAGAGUUAGGGCAAUUUGCGUAAAUUAGGGUUAUUAACAACUUGGUAGCACAGUUUGGCGUCGUUCUUGUUAUAUUUGCCUUUCGUUGCUGUCAAAAAAAAGGAUUUGAGCAGUGUGGGGCUAUGGGUGGUGCUUAAUUUCUUGGUUGAAUAGUUUUCUUGGAGUCUGGAUAUUUCUUGUACUGUGAAUCAUCGAGUAUCAACAUUCUUGAAGCAAUUAAUAGCUAGAUCACACUUUUGAUAAGAUAUGGUGAACAAUGGAGAGAUGAUCGUCUACUAGGGAUAUAUCAUCGUGGAAAUUGCCUGGUAUGCUAGAUUGAAAUAUUCAAGAAAUUGAAAUUCCUCUGGUUGAUGUUGAUUUAUUUUCGGUCGAUGACGGAAAGGCAGGCAAUUUCCUGCGGACUGCGAUUUUUGGAGCUAUGUCUGCUAAAGCUAAGGCUUGCACGGAGAUAAUAUAGACGACUAUAAUCCUGCUGCAAGCAAGGACCUGUUUUGAAUUGGCAGAGUCACAGUUCCUUGAAGUAGGUUUCCUGGGGUACUAUGGAGCUACAGGGCCUUCCAACGAGGCUUGAACCAUCCGCAACUUCUACAGGGCAGGACAAAUUUAGCAAAUCCCAGAGGAUUCGGCACAAGAGUGUGCAGUUUGAAGACUCAUUUACUUUUGACGAGAAUUCAAGAGUGAUAUACAUCAAUGAUCCAAGAAGGACGAAUGACAAGUACGAGUUCAGUGGGAAUGAGAUCCGGACAAGUAAGUAUACUGUAAUCACAUUUCUGCCCAAAAACCUGUUCAUCCAAUUCCACCGAGUAGCAUAUUUAUACUUCCUAGCAAUUGCUGCUCUUAAUCAGCUUCCUCCUCUGGCCGUCUUUGGAAGGACGGUGUCUUUAUUUCCCCUCCUCUUUGUGCUUUCUGUGACUGCUAUUAAAGAUGGCUAUGAAGAUUGGCGCAGGCAUAGAUCUGAUCGGAAAGAGAAUAACCGAGAGGCACAAGUUUUCCAAUCUGGCCACUUUCAGGCAAAGAAAUGGAAAAAUAUACGUGCUGGAGAGGUUGUGAGAAUCCAUUCUGAUGAAACAAUCCCUUGUGACAUAGUUCUGUUAAGGACUAGCGAUCCGAAUGGAGUAGCAUAUGUUCUGACAAUGAAUUUAGAUGGUGAAUCAAACUUAAAGACAAGAUAUGCACGGCAAGAAACAACUUUCAUGGACUGGGAGCAUGGUCCAUUUACAGGGUUGAUCAGAUGUGAGCAGCCAAAUAGAAAUAUUUAUGAAUUUACAGCCAAUAUGGAAUUCAAUGGGCAGAGGAUUCCCCUUGGCCAGUCAAACAUUAUUUUACGUGGCUGCCAACUUAAGAAUACAGAAUGGGUUGUUGGUGUUGUGGUUUAUGCUGGUCAGGAAACCAAAGCAAUGUUGAACAGCACAGUGUCACACUCCAAAAGGAGCAAAUUAGAAAGCUAUAUGAACAGGGAAACCCUGUGGUUGUCAGUUUUUCUCUUUGUCAUAUGUGCAGUGGUAGCAAUAGGGAUGGGGUUAUGGCUAAAACGUCAUGGUAAUCAGCUUGAUACCCUACCUUAUUACCGAAGGAGCUAUUUCACAAAUGGUCGAGAUAAUGGAAAGGAAUACAGAUAUUAUGGAAUUCCUAUGGAGACACUUGUCUCAUUUUUUAGCUCUGUCAUAGUGUUUCAAAUAAUGAUACCUAUAUCUUUGUACAUCACAAUGGAGCUGGUCCGGUUGGGUCAGUCAUACUUCAUGAUUGGGGAUGCCCAGAUGUAUGAUAGUGGUUCAGGCUCAAGGUUUCAGUGUCGAUCCUUAAACAUAAAUGAGGAUCUAGGUCAGAUACGUUAUGUAUUUUCAGAUAAAACAGGAACUCUGACUGAGAAUAAGAUGGAAUUUCGGAGGGCUAGUGUGUAUGGAAAGGAUUAUGGAAACUUGCGUAAAACUAGUCACUCAUUGCAGGAAAUUUGCAUUUCAGGAGGUCCCAGACGGAAGCUAAGUUCAGAUAUCAAUGUUGAUCCUGAACUUUUGGCACUAUUGCACAAAGACUUGGUUGGAGAGGAACGAAUUGCUGCUCAUGAGUUUUUCCUUACUUUGGCCGCCUGUAACACUGUCAUUCCAAUAGCUAGCCGAAGUUUGUCUCCUAGUGCCAAUGACUCACAUGAUGAGAUAGAAGCAAUUGAUUAUCAGGGUGAGUCUCCUGAUGAACAAGCAUUAGUUGCUGCAGCUUCAGCUUAUGGUUAUGCUCUCAUUGAACGUACAUCAGGCCACAUUGUUAUUGAUGUCAAUGGUGAUAGGCUAAGGUUGGAAGUACUUGGUCUGCAUGAGUUUGAUAGUGUGCGGAAAAGAAUGUCUGUGGUUAUUAGAUUUCCUAAUGGUGCUGUGAAGGUGUUUGUUAAGGGUGCCGAUAGUUCAAUGCUCAGUGUUCUCGACGAACUGAAUGACCAGGGGCACAAAGGAGACAGGAGCAGCAAAGUAAAAUAUGCAACAGAGAAUCACUUGACAAAUUAUUCAUCACAGGGUUUACGCACCCUGGUAAUUGCUGCGAGAGAUCUCAGUGAUGGAGAAUUCGAGGAAUGGCAGAUCAAGUAUGAAGAAGCUAGUACAUCAUUAAGUGAGAGGUCAGCUAAGCUUCGUCAGGCAGCUGCUCUUAUUGAAUGCAAUUUAAGCCUUCUUGGGGCUACUGCAAUUGAAGAUAAACUGCAAGAUGGUGUGCCUGAAGCUAUAGAAUCCCUACGUCAAGCAGGAAUUAAGGUUUGGGUUCUCACAGGAGAUAAGCAAGAGACUGCAAUUUCGAUAGGUUUUUCAUGCAAGCUCCUGACGCAAGAUAUGCAUCAAAUUAUUAUAAAUGGUGCUUCAGAGAGGGAAUGCAGGAGUCUGUUGGCCGAUGCUAAGGCCAAAUAUGGAGUAAAAUCAACAAACUGUGCCACUAGGACCUUGAAGUCUAAGAAAAAAUUCUAUAAUCAUUAUCUUGAGACUCCUGAUGAUGCAAAAACUUCUAGGGAUUUGAUAGCUAACAGAGGGCCACAAGCUCUUGGGUCUAAUGUGGCUGUUGUUAAUAUGACAGGAUCCUGUGGAGAGAUUUUGACAAGUUUAGCAAAUGCUCCACUGGCACUCAUAAUUGAUGGAAACAGUCUUGUUUACAUCUUAGAGAAAGACCUGGAGACAGAGCUUUUCGAUUUGGCAACUGCUUGUAGGGUUGUGCUUUGCUGUCGGGUUGCUCCAUUGCAAAAAGCUGGAAUUGUUGAUUUAGUUAAAAACAGGACAAAUGAUAUGACUCUGGCUAUAGGUGAUGGGGCAAACGAUGUAUCAAUGAUCCAAAUGGCAGAUGUUGGUGUUGGCAUAUGUGGUCAAGAAGGUCGUCAGGCAGUAAUGGCAUCAGAUUUUGCUAUGGGUCAAUUUCGUUUUCUCAAAAAAUUGCUUCUUGUACAUGGUCACUGGAAUUAUCAGCGUGUUGGUUAUUUGGUUUUGUACAACUUCUACCGGAAUGCUGUAUUUGUGUUAAUGCUAUUCUGGUAUAUCUUAUGCACAGCAUUUUCUACAACUUCAGCUUUGACUGAUUGGAGUAGUGUAUUGUAUUCUCUCAUCUAUACAUCGGUCCCGACAAUUGUGGUUGGUAUUUUGGACAAGGACUUGAGCCAUAAAACACUCCUUCAGUGUCCAAAACUUUAUUGUGCAGGGCAUAGACAUGAGAGCUAUAAUAUGCAUCUCUUCUGGCUCACAAUGGUUGAUACGUUGUGGCAAAGUGUUGUUCUAUUCUAUAUUCCUAUUUUCACUUACAGAAACAGUACCAUUGACAUCUGGAGCAUUGGCAGUCUGUGGACAAUUGCAGUUGUUGUGCUUGUGAAUGUUCACUUGGCAAUGGACAUCCGACGCUGGGUAUUGAUUACUCAUAUAGCAAUAUGGGGUUCUAUAAUCAUCACAUAUGUUUGCAUAGUGAUAAUUGAUUUGAUACCUAACUUUCCCAAUUACUGGACAAUAUUUCAUUUAGCCUGUUCAUGGACUUAUUGGCUCACUAUUUUGCUAACUACAAUUUUAGCCUUGCUUCCUCGGUUUAUUUGCAAAGUGACCUGGCAGAUCUUCUGGCCUUCAGAUAUUCAAAUAGCCAGAGAAGCUGAAAAAUUAAGGACCCGGCCAUUUGGAAUAGAGAUCUGAAAUAUAUCUCAUAAAAGUUCUAGUCAAUAUCUUUGCAUUUAGACAUUGUAUGGCUUUCUUAUGGAGCUUAUCAGAAACUUUACAAAAUUUUAAUCAUGUAUACGUUUAACUGCUAACAAGCUCUCGAGCGUGCUAGACCAGAAACAAGUUAAAACUGAAUUUUAUCAUAUUAUACAGAAUGUUAUGAGCUUCCAUAUGACAAUGGUCCAUGAAAAGGGGCUGCCUGCUAUGUAAGCAAUGAAGAAAGCAGAGAACUCACGUCCUGGAUGAAAGACCUCAAGAUGCGCAAACGGCAAGGACUUUAGGGUUGGGACAGGCCGCCUGGGCUGAUCGAUUAUUAGAUUGGACAAUAAUCUGAUAACACAAAACCAUGUGAAAUUAAUCCGACGGUGGAUAACUAGGGUAAAAAGGGUACAUAGCUGGGAAAAUAUUACUCAUUUUUCCUCCUUUUUUCUGUGUGUGUUCCUGUAUCUUUGGAAAAUUGUAUUUAUAUAAUUGGGAAAUUUGUUAAAAGUUCUUGCAGUAGUUCUUCACUC